rnacentral:sRNA from 1 species
CCUGCGGCGAAAACUCAACGUUUUCGGAAAAGGGCUGUCUGCGCGACGUGAUCAUGUCGCGCCGGGAACGACUUUGCGUUCCCUGCUAUGAGCCGUGAGGCUCCCUGUGCGUCACGUCCCCGGAAGGGACGUGACGCGCGGGUC